UGAAAUAAGCGCGUCUAACUACGUUGCAAUUACGAUGUCACAUCGUAUUCAUUGCAAAUCUAACUUUUUUAUCAAAUGCAUGUUUUUUUUUCUACUUAGGUCGAUGCCCAGGACAAAAUGAAGCUUUAGGUGCUUGCCUCCGCAGUAAUACAAAAUACGAAGACGUAUGUCCUGAAGCGCCAUCUCAAUGGUGCCGCUAUUCCUCCUAUAACUAUAAUAGUAAACUAAGAAAACGUCCCUGCGUCUGCGUGAGCGGAACGUGUAGGAAUAGACGUGGGAUUUGCGUGCCCUGUGAUGAAUGCGAUGCAAACAAGUAAAGCUGGAACCAUUCGGAAGCUGCACAUACGUUCGUAAAGCGGGUCCAUAUCCGAUCUGCUGCAAUUUUGAGCGUGUAUGUUAGUGACUCCUGAAGGCACUACGUACCUUCUUUCGCCAGUUGUUUGUAAGUGAAUGGUGCAUGAGACUCGAAAUCAGAAAUGCUCUAGCUAAGUACAUAAUAAAUCAUUAUGUGCUAUAA